GGGCAGUUAGCUCAGUUGGUUUAGAGCAUUGCGUUGACAUCGCAAAGGUCGCUGGUUCGAAUCCAGUACUGCCCA
rnacentral:tRNA from 1 species